rnacentral:ncRNA from 1 species
CUGGUUCCGGUUCACGUGCCCGAUCCCGUGCACGACCCGGCGACC